UACGUAGGGGGCUAGCGUUGUCCGGAAUCAUUGGGCGUAAAGCGUGCGCAGGCGGUUCUGAAAGUCAGCUGUGAAAGCCCCGGGCUUAACCUGGGAAUUGCGGUUGAAACUACAGGGCUAGAAUCUGGCAGAGGGGGGUGGAAUUCCACGUGUAGCAGUGAAAUGCGUAGAGAUGUGGAGGAACACCGAUGGCGAAGGCAGCCCCCUGGGCUGAGAUUGACGCUCAGGCACGAAAGCGUGGGGAGCAAACAGG
rnacentral:rRNA from 1 species